AACGUAGGAGACAAACGUUAUCCGGAGUUACUGGGCGUAAAGGGCGUGUAGGCGGGUAGGUAAGUCUGGCGUGAAAGCUCUCGGCUAAACCGGGAGAGGUCGUUGGAUACUGGCUGACUAGAGGACGGUAGAGGCGUGUGGAAUUCCGGGUGUAGUGGUGAAAUGCGUAGAGAUCCGGAGGAACACCAGUGGCGAAGGCGACACGCUGGGCCGUACCUGACGCUAAAGCGCGACAGCAUGGGGAGCAAACGGG
rnacentral:rRNA from 1 species